rnacentral:rRNA from 1 species
GGAAAUCUUCCGGCUUAACCGGAAGGCAUCUCAGGGAUACUGGCAGACUAGGGACCGGAAGAGGUGAGGGGUACUCCAGGGGUAGGAGUGAAAUCCUGUAAUCCUUGGGGGACCACCUGUGGCGAAGGCGCCUCACCAGAACGGCUCCGACAGUGAGGGACGAAAGCUGGGGGAGCAAACCGGAUUAGAUACCCGGGUAGUCCCAGCCGUAAACGAUGUGCGUUAGGUGUAUCGGUGACCACGAGUCACCGAGGUGCCGAAGAGAAAUCGUGAAACGUACCGCCUGGGAAGUACGGUCGCAAGGCUGAAACUUAAAGGAAUUGGCGGGGGAGCACCACAACAGGUGGAGCCUGCGGUUUAAUCGGACUCAACGCCGGGAAUCUCCCCGGAUAAGACAGCUGGAUGAUAGUCGGGCUGAAGACUCUACUUGACUAGCUGAGAGG